rnacentral:lncRNA from 1 species
CUAGUUCAACUAGGACUUGGGUCAAUCUAAUUUCUAAUUUGAUUAAAAAAUUAAAUCAGAUUUAAAUCUAAUUUAAUCUAAUUAAAUUAGAUUUUUAAUUGGGUUAAGACCUAUUUUAAUUAGGUUGAUCUAAUUUUGAUUUGAUUUGGUUUGGAAAACUAAAUUAAAACAAGUCAUAAGACAGAAUCCUAGUAAGACUAGGAUUCCACCUUGCGCCACAUAAGCCUUCUCCACGC